rnacentral:lncRNA from 1 species
ACAUCCAAAGAUAGAUAAAAUCUGAUCUUUAAAGGUAGGUUCAAAUUUAAUUUGAAUGGGUUACCAUAUAUGGAUAAGGUUUGACCUUAUCCAUAGACCUUGCCGCCCACUUCUCUUUAUUCCCCUUCUUUUGUGCUACAAAAGGAGGAAUAUUUUUGUCAUGGGGAAUCAGAUGAGAUCUAGUUUACCAUAAGAAAGAAAGAUGGUUUGGG